UGCAGUGGAGCGACGAACCAGGGCUUGCCCUGGGGCCAAGCCGCGAACGGGUGAGUAACACGUGGGUAACCUGCCCAGAUGACCGGGACAACCCGAGGAAACUCGGGCUAAUACCGGAUGUGACCCUCAUACAUCAGUGUGAGGACCAAAGGAAGCUUCGGCCUCCGCAUCUGGAGGGGCCCGCGGCCCAUUAGCUAGUUGGUGAGGUAACGGCUCACCAAGGCCAUGAUGGGUAGCUGGUCUGAGAGGACGAUCAGCCACACUGGGACUGAGACACGGCCCAGACUCCUACGGGAGGCAGCAGUGGGGAAUCUUGCGCAAUGCGCGAAAGCGUGACGCAACAACGCCGCGUGAGGGAAGAAGGCCUUCGGGUUGUAAACCUCUUUCAGAAGGGACGAAGGGUCGGCCGCGAAUAGCGAGCCGGCUUGACGGUACCUUCAGAAGAAGCCCCGGCUAACUACGUGCCAGCAGCCGCGGUAAUACGUAGGGGGCAAGCGUUGUCCGGAAUCAUUGGGCGUAAAGCGCGCGUAGGCGGCUAGAUCAGUCUGCUGUGAAAGUCAAAGGCUCAACCUUUGAAUGCCGGUGGAUACUGUCUAGCUAGAGUCCGGAAGAGGCGAGUGGAAUUCCUGGUGUAGCGGUGGAAUGCGCAGAUAUCAGGAGGAACACCAACGGCGAAGGCAGCUCGCUGGGACGGUACUGACGCUAAGGCGCGAAAGCGUGGGGAGCGAACAGGAUUAGAUACCCUGGUAGUCCACGCCGUAACGAUGGGCACUACGUGUGGGAGUGUCGACUCCUCCCGUGCCGUCGCUAACGCACUAA
rnacentral:rRNA from 1 species